rnacentral:rRNA from 1 species
GACGUAGGGCGCGAGCGUUGUCCGGAUUUAUUGGGCGUAAAGAGCUCGUAGGCGGCUCGUUGCGUCGGCUGUGAAAACCCGCAGCUCAACUGUGGGCUUGCAGCUGAUACGGGCGGGCUGGGAUUCGGUAGGGGAGACUGGAAUUCCUGGUGUAGCGGUGAAAUGCGCAGACUAUCAGGAGGAACACCGAUGGCGAAGGCAGGUCUCUGGGCAUUAACUGACGCUGAGGAGCGAAAGCAUGGGGAGCGAACAGG